GGAGGGUAUAGCUCAGUGGUAGAGCACGUGUUUAGCAUGCACGAGGUCCUGGGUUCAAUCCCCAGUGCCUCCA
rnacentral:tRNA from 1 species